ACAUGCCUACAACAUAGAAUUAAUGCAUCGAAUCCGAUUAGAAAUACAUAGUUAAGUGCGCUCAGGAUAGAGAAGUACCAGGAUGGGUGACCACCCAAGAAGUCCUAGUGUUUUGCAUGCC
rfam:Picea glauca, whole genome shotgun sequence.